rnacentral:rRNA from 1 species
GCUAGCUACAGGCUUAACACAUGCAAGUCGAGGGGCAGCAUUUUAGUUUGCUUGCAAACUGAAGAUGGCGACCGGCGCACGGGUGAGUAACACGUAUCCAACCUACCGAUAACUCCGGAAUAGCCUUUCGAAAGAAAGAUUAAUACCGGAUAGCAUACGAAUAUCGCAUGAUAUUUUUAUUAAAGAAUUUCGGUUAUCGAUGGGGAUGCGUUCCAUUAGUUUGUUGGCGGGGUAACGGCCCACCAAGACUACGAUGGAUAGGGGUUCUGAGAGGAAGGUCCCCCACAUUGGAACUGAGACACGGUCCAAACUCCUACGGGAGGCAGCAGUGAGGAAUAUUGGUCAAUGGGCGAGAGCCUGAACCAGCCAAGUAGCGUGAAGGAUGAAGGCUCUAUGGGUCGUAAACUUCUUUUAUAUGGGAAUAAAGUUUUCCACGUGUGGAAUUUUGUAUGUACCAUAUGAAUAAGGAUCGGCUAACUCCGUGCCAGCAGCCGCGGUAAUACGGAGGAUCCGAGCGUUAUCCGGAUUUAUUGGGUUUAAAGGGAGCGUAGGUGGAUUGUUAAGUCAGUUGUGAAAGUUUGCGGCUCAACCGUAAAAUUGCAGUUGAAACUGGCAGUCUUGAGUACAGUAGAGGUGGGCGGAGUUCGUGGUGUAGCGGUGAAAUGCUUAGAUAUCACGAAGAACUCCGAUUGCGAAGGCAGCUCACUAGACUGUCACUGACACUGAUGCUCGAAAGUGUGGGUAUCAAACAGGAUUAGAUACCCUGGUAGUCCACACAGUAAACGAUGAAUACUCGCUGUUUGCGAUAUACAGUAAGCGGCCAAGCGAAAGCAUUAAGUAUUCCACCUGGGGAGUACGCCGGCAACGGUGAAACUCAAAGGAAUUGACGGGGGCCCGCACAAGCGGAGGAACAUGUGGUUUAAUUCGAUGAUACGCGAGGAACCUUACCCGGGCUUAAAUUGCAACAGAAUAUAUUGGAAACAGUAUAGCCGUAAGGCUGUUGUGAAGGUGCUGCAUGGUUGUCGUCAGCUCGUGCCGUGAGGUGUCGGCUUAAGUGCCAUAACGAGCGCAACCCUUAUCUUUAGUUACUAACAGGUUAUGCUGAGGACUCUAGAGAGACUGCCGUCGUAAGAUGUGAGGAAGGUGGGGAUGACGUCAAAUCAGCACGGCCCUUACGUCCGGGGCUACACACGUGUUACAAUGGGGGGUACAGAAGGCGGCUACCUGGUGACAGGAUGCUAAUCCCAAAAACCUCUCUCAGUUCGGAUCGAAGUCUGCAACCCGACUUCGUGAAGCUGGAUUCGCUAGUAAUCGCGCAUCAGCCAUGGCGCGGUGAAUACGUUCCCGGGCCUUGUACACACCGCCCGUCAAGCCAUGAAAGCCGGGGGUACCUGAAGUACGUAACCGCAAGGAGCGUCCUAGGGUAAAACUGGUAAUUGG